UACAGAGGUCCCAAGCGUUGUUCGGAUUCACUGGGCGUAAAGGGUGCGUAGGUGGUGGGGUAAGUCGGAUGUGAAAUCUCCGAGCUCAACUCGGAAAUGGCAUUGGAAACUACCCUGCUAGAGGGUCGGAGGGGGGACUGGAAUUUACGGUGUAGCGGUGAAAUGCGUAGAUAUCGUAAGGAAGACCAGUGGCGAAGGCGGGUCUCUGGACAGUUCCUGACGCUGAGGCACGAAGGCCAGGGGAGCAAACGGG
rnacentral:rRNA from 1 species